rnacentral:lncRNA from 1 species
AUGACGGGAAAGAGAUCAGGAAGGACUGGCGAGGACAGGACAUUGGGUGUAGUCCCAAGGUGUAUAUGAAUCUGAGUGUGUGGAGUCUGGAGGAGCCAGUGGAGGGUUGGGAGAGGGAAGCAAAAAGUCUAGACUGGAGGUCAAGUGACAGCACACAUAACUAACUAGCUGAUGAAAAGGCAAACCCAGUGUGAGCUUUGAGCAGGCUGAUGAUGGGCAAGAGUGGAAAUGGCUGGGGAGGAGGCAGGGCUGCUGGGGCGGACACUGAUCAGGCAGAUGUCUAGGUACCCGGACUACCUGUGGAAGGUGCACAGGAGGGCAAAUGUCUGAGCAGUCUGGCAAGUUUCUACCCAAGAGAACAUGAAGUUCAUGGUGAGCCUGUGAGGCGAGAGGAGGUCAGCAUGCUGAGAGAGAGGGUGGUAGACUGGAAGAUGACAGAAUAGCUAAAGUGAGGGUAAGUCCCCACCUUGGAGGGGAGAGGCUGAAGGCAGUGGUGGCUUCAGAAAGUGGAGGGAGUUCCUGGGAGGGCAGAAGCCUGGGCAGAGAGUCAUAGAGUCGCUGCGAGCACAGUGCUGCUAAAGAGGGCAGAACUCUUCUCAUGGGGAGGAUACAAGACUGGUGAGUAAGCUAGGAAGUUCAGGGAGACAUUAAAAGCCUAGGAGGGAAGAAAGGCAGAGAAGAUGGCAGUGCGGGCAGGGAGGAGAAGAGAAGGCUAAGGGGUAAAAGCCCAAGAGAAGGCAGAGUGCUAGAGAAUGGGGCAGCAUUUUUGGCAGAAUAGCAAGUGGACAGGACACAAGGGCAGGGAAGGUCAUGUGUUAUACCAGGGGGUGAAGAGUCAGAAGCAAAAAGCAGGAUUGAAUUCUCACAGGAUACUGAAGCAGAGACAUUAACUGCCAGGCUGGAGUGCAGAGGAGGAAAGGGUGGCAGCUGGGGAGAGAGUUAAGGCCGAGGAAGAAGUCAGGAAGCCAGGGAAAAUGACAGAAGGCUCUCUGAAGGAUAGGGGAAGGCCCAGAUGGAUGGCACAUGGCAGGAGAGACAGAAAGAAGGCUAGUGGAGAGGGCAGAAGGGUGUGAAGGUGAGCACAAGGCACAAUAGGAAGGGGAAGGGUGUGGGGUGGAGAAGGAGGUUUUAUUAGUCAGCCCUAGUGGACAGGCUGAGGCGCUCACCCAGGGAUGGGGAGCGGGGGACAGUGAGCUCAUGAAAAGGUGGGUUCCAGCUGCAGGAAAAGGCUGCAGAAUAGGGCCAAAGGUUCAGGUCAACUGGGUGAGUUGGGGCUGGAGACAUGGCUCAGCAGUUAUAACAGCUUUCUGCUCCUCCAGAGGAAACAGGUUUUAUUCAAAGCACCCACAUGGAGGCUCACAACCAUCCGUGACUCCAGUCCCAGGGAUCCAGUGUCAUCUCCUGGUUUCCCCUGAGACCAUGGAUGCAUUUGGUGUUCGGAACACAUACAGGCAAAGCAUCCAUUCAUAGAAAAAUAUUUUGUAAAAUGUUGAACAUGGGGAAUUGUUAACAAUAGGGAAGAAGUUGUUUACUCCAGUCAUGAUGGAAACACAAGAGUGCAGGAGACAGAUCUGAUAAAGGUGGGAUACUAAUUAGGGAGUAGUAGAGGAUAUAGGGGAGGUAUGAAUUAUGGGAUAGAGGAAGGGAGCAAGCUGGCAAUGAGGACAGGAAAUCAAGGGCAGCUUAGGAUACUAUGUAAGGGAAAGAAGACUAGCCUAGAGAAGAGGGCAGGUGUCUCUCAAUGCAUGUCAGUAUCAGGCAAGUCAGGAUGUCAGUAUCAAGGCAUGGGUCAGAGACUCGGGAAAAGCACAGGUGCCUGGAAAAGCUCAAGGGGAAUCACAGGUGGUCAGGAGGCAAGGAGCCAGAUGAGAGGCCAAGAGGCUCUCCGCAAGAUGGGAAGAGGCUCUGAGGUACGGCAGGAUGGCAGGAGGGACAGAGCAGAGCCCAAGGGAGGGGGCGGGAGUAUGUGGAGGUGAGCAGGAGAUGCUGUGGGAGAUAAGGAGAGUGAGGAUGUAGGCAGGAGAGUAAGAGGUGCCAGGGGUUGGCAGGAGGAUGAGGGAAUCUGGAUCAACUGUGGAAGAGAAGACAGGGUCGAAGGAGGCAGAAGCUCACAGAAAAGUAGGAGCUUGCUGGGAGGAAAACGGGCUCUAGUACAGGACCACAAGUUCAGAGAGAGUGAGAUAGACUGAGAUAAUCCGGGGCUGGACAUCUGUCUCAAAACUCAGGACAACUGCCUGACCCUGCACAGGCUGGAAAUUUGAAUUGAUGCAUCCACAUCAUCUCACAACAAUUGACAACUACAAUCCCAGUGGAUCCGAUGCUUUCUUCUGACCUAUCUGGGACCAGCAGGACACUUGCUGCUUUGAAUAUACACAUAGGCCAAAGAGCCACUCCCAGAGAAGUGUAAUGAUGUUUAAGAGUGGGUUGUUUAUACUAAUAGAAAAGAAUAGAGAUUCUGUGUAUGGUGUUUGGAGAACUGAAUACUGCAAAGAGGCUCUGGUGAGGGUGGGAUUCUAAAUCGGGUUUCGAGGGGCAUCUGGGGAAGAUAGGAGUCUUAAGAGAAGUAGUCAAGGGAAGCCUUAGGGUAGAAUGUUAGGGUAAUGGACCAAACUAGAGAAGAGAACAGGUGCCUGGGAAGCAAGAUUACACUGGUAGAGCCAGAAUUGGAGGCUCACUGUGUCAGCACGGGACUCUGGAUGCAGUUAAGAUGCCCACUGGUAGGUCCAGAAGCUAUGGAAGGGGGGAAAGUCAAUGAAAGAGGAAAAGAGGCUUGGGGUGAAGGUAGGACGCUCCAGGAAGUCCUGAGACAUGAGGAAGUGAGGAGACUGAGAAAGAUAUCAGGACAGUUGCAGUCUGGGCACGAGGAACUCAUGCUUUUGAGGAGGGUAUGAGGCCCUAGGAAGGCAGAAGGAUGAUAAAUAAUGAGGGAGGAGGGGGGAAACAGAAUCCUAGGGAACAAGUUAGGAGGAUAUGGGGAGGAGGACUGGAGACAACAGAGGUACUGAAAGAAACUAAGUGGGAAAUACAGGAGGAUUUGAGCAGAUGCCGCAGAUAUGGAUGGGUAGGAGGUUGGAAGUGGUGGCAGAUGUCCAGAAGACUAUAAAUAUUGGCUGUAAAGAGAGCAUGCUUAAGAGAGGGUAGGAAUCUUGGGCAGUUGAGAAGGCUGUGAGGAGGGCAGGAAGUUCCUUGCGAAAUUGGGACUCUGGGUUCUAGAAGCAGCCCCAGGGUGUCUAGAAAUCUCCAGGCCUUAGGAGUUGGGUGGAGCCUUACCAGAUUCAAGGCAGAAAGGAAGAGAUCACUUGACUAGGGACAGAGUAUGUGACUGGGUAAAGGCCAACGUCUGCAUGGAACACUGGAGGCUUGGGGGCAAGAGAGCAAAUAGCUGGGGGAAAGAGUAGGAGUCUCCGGAGUCCUGGGCUGGAGGCUGA